AAUAAUCAUCAGCUUAUUAUUAAGACUGGUUCGGAUAAAGUUUCUCUCUCUCUCUCUCUCUCUCUCUCUCUCUCUCUCUCUCUCUCUCUCUCUCUCUCUCUCUCUCUCUCUCUCAUUCCAGACGCAAUUUCGUUAGUUUUUAAUUCCUUCUCUUUCUUCUUUUAAUCCAACCGCUAAUAUGAUUUUUUUUUCCUUUUUUCCGUACUACUACUACUACUACUACUACUACUACUACUACUACUACUACUACUAGCAUCACCACCACUCCACACAGUAACAGAGAGAGAGAGAGAGAGUUCAUAGGAAGGAGGGAAAAAAAAGGUAUUUCACGUAUCCCUCAGUAUUAUCUCAGCAGUCGUAGGGGGAGGACGUGCGCUCUCGCCUCCUCCGUUCCAACCACGCAUACCUAGUGGGCUUUUAAAUCUCCACACCAGUCUUACUAUUAAAAGUGGCAGUGGUGACUUAAGUGUCUUAUAAGUAGCCCAGUGUACUUAAAACCCGCGCCAGACAAGUGCCCUAGAAAAAUUUUGGCUUUUAAAUUUCGGAAAAGUUUUGAAAAAUUUGUUGUUGUUGUUGUUGUUGUUGUUGUUGUUUGGAAGAAAGGAUUUUAUAACGUACAAGGAAGUGUUCUGUGCAUCUCCCAGGCAGGAAUCCAGACUGCUGUACACAAUAGAUUGCUGGUAAGUGUAUGAUUCAAUAUCUUUAAUUGCUGUUUCCAGUAUUUUGCAUAUCACAUAAGUCAAACUGCCCGCCCGGCCUGUACUUGCUGGGGUCACUUUUCAUGUUUCUUAUAGAUUACAUGAGUUGCUUUUCAAAAUUCUGGUAUUUCCUGGCUAUGAAGUGAAUAGCUAGCAAUCAGUCAAUCGGCACCCUUAGAUGAAUCUGGUCAGGUGCGGUGACUUGUCCCUCUCAGCCUCUUUAUCAUAAUGCUGUAUAUCAUUUCUACUCAUUUCCAGAGAUACCAAGACUGGCACAGACUCCCUGGUUAUCUCUGGCAUGCCCUCAUCCAGUUGAUGUGCGAACACCACUGCAGGGAACUCUGUCGGUGUGUCUGUUCCUUUCUUUAUCAUUUCCAGUGUUCCUGCUCUUGUCAAUGCUGUUCCUGACACUGACAGUUCCUGCACUGACACUGUUUAGUUGGGUUAGGUUUGGUUACAUACAUUCCAUUCAUUACCAUCAUCAUUAUUCUCUCAUUUCUCAUUCAUUUAUCAUAAUUUUUCCAUCCACUUGUCACCAUCCUUCCAUUUCUCAUUAAUUUAUCACUUGUUAUCACCAUCCUUUCAUCUCUCAUUUACUAAUAAUUUUUAUUCCCAUGGCCUUGUUGACUGGAUGCUCUCUCUCUCUCUCUCUCUCUCUCUCUCUCUCUCUCUCUCUCUCUCUCUCUCUCUCUCUCUCUCUCUCUCUCUCUCUCUCUCUCUCUCUCUCUCUCUCUCUCUCUCUCUCUCUCUCUCUCUCUCUCUCUCUCAUGGCAUCAAGUAAGCAUUACAUUACAUGUUGCCGAGUUCUUUGGGCAUUGUGAAUGAAGUGACCUACAGUGGUUUUUUAUUUAUUUAUUUAUUUUCUCUCUCUCUCUCUCUCUCUCUCUCUCUCUCUCUCUCUCUCUCUCUCUCUCUCUCUCUCUCUCUCUCUCUCUCUCUCUCUCUCUCUCUCUCUCUCUCUCUCUCUCUCUCUUCAAAACAAACAGGAGGUGAAUGAGUGUGAGAGAUUUUCAGGAAAAGUGAAUUUAAGUCCCUGUUUUGAUACAAAGAACAAAAAUCCCUUGUACCCAUGAUGAACUGUGCAUUAUCAUAACACCUAUCAUGUUCUAAAUCAAUUUCCCUCCCAUCUCUAAUAAUCUCUUGAUGACAAAUUAUCAGCAUUAUCAAUCUUCUCCAGAGGCUUUUGUAGUGUCAACCGCAGUAUACUUCUGCAAAAACUGCAUCAUUAUGGCACAUUCCUGGUUCAAAGGCUGUUUGACUGAUACAACCCAGUGCACAGUCCAUCAUGGAUACCUUUUAACAAAACCUACUUUUAUUUCAUGUUUUCAAGUAGCAUAAUUAUGUACUGCUUAAUAAAUGAACACCUGAA